AGGCGAAAGCCUGACAGGGUUACUCUGAGUGACUUUCGCUAAGAAAGUCUUUUGACACCUCUAAAAAUGGUGUAGAAUAAGGGGUGGGCAAGUCUGGUGUCAGCCGCCGCGGUAAUACAA
rnacentral:rRNA from 1 species